UUCAAAAUCUUUGUUCUUCAA
rnacentral:piRNA from 1 species